GUCGAGGAUCAUUCGCAAUGGGCGCAAGCCUGACGAUGCGACGCUGCGUGGAGGAUGAAGGCCUUCGGGUUGUAAACUCCUGUCGUACGGGAAAAACGGCGGACGGGCUAAUACCCCGGUCGCGUGAUGGUACCGUAAGAGGAAGCCACGGCUAACUCUGUGCCAGCAGCCGCGGUAAUACAGAGGUGGCGAGCGUUGUUCGGAUUUACUGGGCGUAAAGGGUGCGUAGGCGGGUUCGUAUGUCGGGUGUGAAAUCCCACGGCUCAACCGUGGAAGGUCAUCCGAAACUACGGAUCUAGAGUCCGGAAAGGGAGAGCGGAAUUCUUGGUGUAGCGGUGAAAUGCGUUGAUAUCAAGAGGAACACCGGUGGCGAAGGCGGCUCUCUGGAACGUGACUGACGCUGAGGCACGAAAGCGUGGGGAGCAAACAGGAUUAGAUACCCCGGUAGUCC
rnacentral:rRNA from 1 species